AACGAACGCUGGCGGCAUGCCUAACACAUGCAAGUCGAACGAGACCUUCGGGUCUAGUGGCGCACGGGUGCGUAACGCGUGGGAACCUGCCCUUAGGUUCGGAAUAACUCCCCGAAAGGGGUGCUAAUACCGGAUAAUGUCUUCGGACCAAAGAUUUAUCGCCUUUGGAUGGGCCCGCGUUGGAUUAGCUAGUUGGUAGGGUAAAAGCCUACCAAGGCGACGAUCCAUAGCUGGUCUGAGAGGAUGAUCAGCCACACUGGGACUGAGACACGGCCCAGACUCCUACGGGAGGCAGCAGUGGGGAGUAUUGGACGAUGGGCGAAAGCCUGAUCCAGCAGUGCCGCGUGAGUGAUGAAGGCCUUAGGGUUGUAAAGCUCUUUUACCCGGGAUGAUAAUGACAGUACCGGGAGAAUAAGCUCCGGCUAACUCCGUG
rnacentral:rRNA from 1 species